AGUGAACGCUGGCGGUAGGCCUAACACAUGCAAGUCGAACGGCAGCACCGUAAGAGCUUGCUCUUACGGGUGGCGAGUGGCGGACGGGUGAGGAAUACAUCGGAAUCUACUUUUUCGUGGGGGAUAACGUAGGGAAACUUACGCUAAUACCGCAUACGACCUACGGGUGACAGCAGGGGACCUUCGGACCUUGCGCGAUUGAAUGAGCCGAUGUCGGAUUAGCUAGUUGGCGGGGUAAAGGCCCACCAAGGCUACGAUCCGUAGCUGGUCUGAGAGGAUGAUCAGCCACACUGGAACUGAGACACGGUCCAGACUCCUACGGGAGGCAGCAGUCGGGAAUAUUGGACAAUGGGCGCAAGCCUGAUCCAGCCAUACCGCGUGGGUGAAGAAGGCCUUCGGGUUGUAAAGCCCUUUUGUUGGGAAAGAAAAGCAGCAGGUUAAUACCCCGCUGUUCUGACGGUACCCAAAGAAUAAGCACCGGCUAACUUCGUG
rnacentral:rRNA from 1 species